AAUAUUGGUGACUCUUAGCAUCGUUCAAUCAUUUCCAGUUGGAUGGACACUUGAUGACUACUGGGAGUUGGUAUUUCCUUUUUCUAGAAAGCCUGAUAGUUCCAUUUUCGAAGCAGGGGUUGCUAUUACUGUUUGCUAAAAACUGUAAAAGAAAACGUUGCGGCAAGAAUGAUGAAAUUCCCAUGCUUUUAUGUCAUAUGGAUGACUACUGGGAGUCUUUUUCUAGAAAGCCUGGUAGUUCCAUUUUCGGGACAGUGGUUGCUAUUACUGUUUGCUAACAACUGUAAAAAACGUUGUGGCAAUAAUGAUGAAAAUUCCCAUGCUUUUCUGUCAUAUGGUGAAGUUCACGACACUGUAUGGGUUACUGAAUUAAAGGAGGUGAAUAAAAUGGGAUUACCUGUAUUGUGUCACCAAAGGCUGAGGGACCUCAAAUACAUUAUUUGCUUAAUUGCAAGCCAACCAGUAGGAAGCAAGGUUCCAAAUAAAAAAAAGAGGGAUAGCAAUCCCUGAACUGAUUAGCCUGGCAAGAUUUAUGUUGACAUCACAAAUGGAGAACUCGAGUACUUAAUUAGUUUUACAUCAGAAGGAACCUCUUGUUACAUUUUCUGUUGUCUUCUGCAAAAUACUGGAAUUAGUCGUCUGCUUUUAAAUCAUUAUCACUAUUAUUGCUUGGCUUUGCAAAUCAUUAGCAAGUCAACACAUAUGUUUCUCCUUUGGUCUUCCUAACACUAGUGAUAUGGAGGUGCUCCUACAUCCUCACUUUUUGGGGUCUGUUCAUUUGACCACAAGUUCACAACUCCCUGUUGAGGCGUAUCAAAUUAGUAAUAUACUAAUAUGGUGCAUAUUUGAUGUAUCGAUGGUGCUUGUGUGGUGAUGGUGUAUCCUGUUCUUGUGCAGGUGUAUUGUCAAUGAAAUGAACCUGCAGAAGCUAAUUGCUUACUAAGUGAUAAAUUGCGGUAUCCUGAUUUCAGGUAACUAUAUGGCAAAACAAACUACAACAGAUUUUAGUUUGAAUAAGAGCCUAUAUUACUUUACAUCUUUAUUAGUUGCAGAUUGUGAAUGCUUUGUUUUUGUGAUAUAUUUCAUUGUUUCUUACCUUAAAGGCCUCUCUGAUUGAAAGCAUUUUUGUAGGAUUUCAAUCCUGAGGAAUUUUUCCUGUAGUGAUUGUUGGAUUUAUAGAAUGAGAAAUUUUAGGAAUUUUUAGUAUGUGCCACUUUGCAUUCAAUACCACAGAAAAUAAACCUCAAAUAUAAGCUCUUGGAAGAACUCAUAUACCUCUUGUGUUCUUGUGUUAACUCUAUGGUGUAAUACUGUAAUCAAACACACUUUGGUGCCACGUCCGUAGGUUUCAAUCCUGCAGGAUUCAGGAAGGUAUGCCAUUGGAAUCCAGCAUUUUUCAUAUAUCUGUGUUUUCAGAAUCCUGCGAAUCAAAGAGGCCCUAAGUUCACGACUCUUUGCGGCAUCUAGCGAGGUGUGUUUCUCACCUUAAAUUUUUGCUCUCUUAGCGUCGAUCAAUCAUAUCCAGUUGGAUGCACACUUGAUGACUACUGGGUGUUGGCACUUCCUUUUCUAGAAGUCCUGGUAGUUCCUAUUUUUGGAACAGAGGUUGCUAUGUUUGCGAUUACUGAAUAAGAGCCUAGAUUACUUUAUGCGUCAACUGUAGUUCUGACAAGGAAAAAAAAAAAUCUGAUAUCACAAUUUGGUGAAAAGACUAUAGCUGAUUUACCAGUUCUGCAACCUUUGUGAGACAGUAUAAAACAAAAACUUUUGUGAGACCAGGUGCCUAGACAUCUUUAUUAGAUGCAUAUUGUUGAUACUUUGCUUUUGAGGUAUUUUUCUGACCUUAAAGGCUUCCUUGAGUGAAAGGAAUUUUCUAGGAUUUCAAUCCGUAGGAAUUUUUUCUAUAGUGGUUGUCUGAUUAGCAGGAUGAGAAAACUUAGGAAUUUCACUGUGGGCCACUUUGUAUUUCCACAGGAACUUUGCAUCAAGUCUAAACACUCUUGGAAGAACUCAUGUACCUCAUGAGCUCUUAUGUUAAACUCUAUUAUGGUGUAAUACUGUAAUCACACACAGUUUGGAGCCGCUUCCUAUGGUUUCCAAUCCUACAGGAUUCAGGAAGGCAUGCCAUUGGAAUCCAGCGUUUUUCCUAUAUCUGCAUCUUCAGGAUCCUGCGAAUCAAAGAGGCCUUAAGUUCAAAACUCUUGCUGGCAUCUAGCGAGGUUUCAGGAAGGCAUGCCAUUGGAAUCCAGCAUUUUUCAUAUAUAUGUGUUUUCAGAGUCCUGUGAAUCAAAGAGGCCCCAAGUUCACAACUCUUUGCGGCAUCUAGCGAGACACAUAGACGGAUCGGCGCCCUUCAUGCCAGAGCCGACUUUGGAGAUGGAGAAGGUUAUUACUGAGUCGGCUUGAGCCCAUGGAUCUGACGAGGGCGUUUCUUCACCUGCUGGUUGUUUCUUCUCCUCAAGACCCGGCUUCCGUCUUUGCGCGGCGGUCUGUUCGCGGUGGAAGGCUUCAUUGACUUCAAGCUGGGCUUGUCCUCUAGCCUUCAGAUUUUUGCUGCUUGUCUGAUUGUUGUUUGUUACUCCCCCUGUAAACAAAUAUAAGAGCGUUUAGAUCACUACUUUAGUGAUCUAAACGCUCUUAUUUUUCUUUACGGAAGGAGUACUAGCAGUUUGCACAACACUUCGUAUCUUUUGGCCGUCAUGUUUGCUUCUUCGUAAGUUGUUGGUCGUUGUAAACCUGGCUGGUUGAUGGCUUUGUUAAUUUAUAGCUGAGCUCAUCUCGAGCCUCUGUUCUAAAAAAAUGCUGGUAUUAUACACUUGUGAAGUUGGGUCUUUUAUUGUACUGUAUACCCUCUAAAGAUCUUGGCUUUGUUAUA